GGGCUGCUAGUUCAUCGGCAGAACGCUUUCCUGAUAAGAAAGAGGUGCUAGGUUCGAUUCCUAGGCAGCCCA
rnacentral:tRNA from 1 species